GUGAGGGGAGUGAAAUAGAACCUGAAACCGUGUACGUACAAGCAGUAGGAGCAGGCUUUGUCCUGUGACUGCGUACCUUUUGUAUAAUGGGUCAGCGACUUAUAUUCAGUGGCAAGGUUAACCAUCUAGGGGAGCCGUAGGGAAACCGAGUCUUAACUGGGCGUUCAGUCUCUGGAUAUAGACCCGAAACCAGGUGAUCUAGCCAUGGGCAGGUUGAAGGUUGAGUAACAUCAACUGGAGGACCGAACCGACUAAUGUUGAAAAAUUAGCGGAUGACUUGUGGCUAGGGGUGAAAGGCCAAUCAAACCUGGAGAUAGCUGGUUCUCCCCGAAAGCUAUUUAGGUAGCGCCUCGGACGAAUACUACUGGGGGUAGAGCACUGUUAAGGCUAGGGGGUCAUCCCGACUUACCAACCCUUUGCAAACUCCGAAUACCAGUAAGUACUAUCCGGGAGACACACGGCGGGUGCUAACGUCCGUCGUGGAGAGGGAAACAACCCAGACCGCCAGCUAAGGUCCCAAAUUACUACUAAGUGGGAAACGAUGUGGGAAGGCUCAGACAGCCAGGAUGUUGGCUUAGAAGCAGCCAUCAUUUAAAGAAAGCGUAAUAGCUCACUGGUCGAGUCGGCCUGCGCGGAAGAUGUAACGGGGCUAAGUAGUAAACCGAAGCUGCGGCAAUGUGCUUUUGCACAUUGGGUAGGGGAGCGUUCUGUAAGCGGUUGAAGGUGUGUGGUAACGCAUGCUGGACGUAUCAGAAGUGCGAAUGCUGACAUGAGUAACGAUAAAGGGGGUGAAAAACCUCCUCGCCGGAAGACCAAGGGUUCCUGUCCAACGUUAAUCGGGGCAGGGUAAGUCGACCCCUAAGGCGAGGCCGAAAGGCGUAGUCGAUGGGAAACGGGUUAAUAUUCCCGUACUUCUUACAAUUGCGAUGGGGGGACGGAGAAGGCUAGGUGGGCCUGGCGACGGUUGUCCAGGUUCAAGUGCGUAGGCUUAAGAGUUAGGUAAAUCCGGCUCUUUUUAAGGCUGAGACACGACGUCGAGCACCUACGGGUGUGAAGUCAUUGAUGCCAUGCUUCCAGGAAAAGCCUCUAAGCUUCAGAUUGUAAGGAAUCGUACCCCAAACCGACACAGGUGGUCGGGUAGAGAAUACCAAGGCGCUUGAGAGAACUCGGGUGAAGGAACUAGGCAAAAUGGUACCGUAACUUCGGGAGAAGGUACGCUCUCGACGGUGAAGUCCCUUGCGGAUGGAGCUAUUGAGAGUCGCAGAUACCA
rnacentral:rRNA from 1 species